rnacentral:rRNA from 1 species
UACGUGGGGGGCAAGCGUUGUUCGGAAUUACUGGGCGUAAAGGGUUUGUAGGCGGCUUGUUAAGUCAGAUGUGAAAUCCCUCAGCUUAACUGGGGAACUGCGUCUGAUACUGUCGAGCUUGAGUGCAGGAGAGGAACGCGGAAUUCCAGGUGUAGCGGUGAAAUGCGUAGAUAUCUGGAGGAACACCGGUGGCGAAGGCGGCGUUCUGGACUGCAACUGACACUGAGAAACGAAAGCCAGGGUAGCAAACGGG